UCCGAUGUAGUCUAGUGGUUAUGAUUUGCGGCUCUCACCCGCAAGGCCCGGGUUCGAUUCCCGGCAUCGGAA
rfam:Pristionchus pacificus strain PS312 contig6501, whole genome shotgun sequence.